GAUGAACGCUAGCGGCAGGCUUAAUACAUGCAAGUCGAGGGGCAGCAUGGUGUAGCAAUACACUGAUGGCGACCGGCAAACGGGUGCGGAACACGUACAGAACCUUCCUUCGAGCGGGGAAUAGCCCAGAGAAAUUUGGAUUAAUACCCCAUAGUAUAUUGAAAAGGCAUCUUUUUAAUACUAAAGAUUUAUCAUUUGAAGAUGGCUGUGCGGCUGAUUAGGUAGUUGGCGGGGUAACGGCCCACCAAGCCUGCGAUCAGUAACUGGUGUGAGAGCACGACCAGUCACACGGGCACUGAGACACGGGCCCGACUCCUACGGGAGGCAGCAGUAAGGAAUAUUGGUCAAUGGACGAAAGUCUGAACCAGCCAUGCCGCGUGGAGGAUGAAGGUCCUCUGGAUUGUAAACUACUUUUAUAUGGGACGAAAAAAGGCUUUUCUAAGUCGUCUGACGGUACCAUAUGAAUAAGCACCGGCUAACUCCGUGCCAGCAGCCGCGGUAACAC
rnacentral:rRNA from 1 species